UAUCACUCUUAAUGGAUUCUGCCCAAGAAGUGAAAAUGAGGUCUGUGAAACAGCAGACCUGGAAGGAAACUGCUCCACUGAAGACCAAGAAGCAAUGGGUUCCAAAAAGUUACUUCCAUUGAUGAUGGAAAGCACAGACCAGUCAGGGACUAUAAAUGACCAGCUCAGCUAUUCAAAACCAAGAGCUGUGAGUUCCACUGUUCAUAACCUGGAAGAAAGGAAAAAGGGCCAACAAGUCACCUAUUAUACACUGAGGUCUGAGAGAGCAGCAACACAUGUGGAAUUCAGAUCUUGGAAUUUCAGACAGUCCUCAUGGAGUCUACCAACAAGCAAGGAAGGCUGCGUUUGAAAAUCUGUUAAUGAAAGAUCAUGAGCAGAUGGAAAAGGAAAAGGAAUUACUGAUGGCACAGGCAUACCUGAAGUUUGAAGAAAUA